GAUUGUGAAGGCAAGACAGAUCUCAACAUUCGUGCUUUAGAGGUUGUGGAAGAACUUAGAACUAAAAGAGCAGACAAGUAGGAAGGAAUUUUAUUUUCCAUUUCAAAUAUUUGGCAUCGGACCCAGAGUUUCUUUCUUCCAGUAUUUUUUUUUUGAAAGUGCAGCAUUUUUCAAUGAAUAUCGAUAAGAGCUGGAUU